GCAGCCAGGUUUGGUUGUUUGUGCUACGUGUUCUGGGACCGAGCAUACAUAGCAGUCAGGCUUAACGUUUUGCUCUGAUCAUGUAUCAUUUCUCUGAGCUGUGCUCACGUCUUGGACCUUCUCAUUCCCUGCUGAGAGGCAAGGAUCAAGAAAACUUAAAGUCCAGGCAAAGAUUUUUGCACAAAAUUCAUUUUGUAAUGGGACAACUCCGUAAUUGGGCCGUCUUAAAACAAUCCAGUAUCAAAACGAAGGAUAUGAGGAUGUCUUGCAAGAAGAUGAAUGAUAAAAUAUGGUUCUCCAGCCAUGCUCUGUCCGUAUCAAGGCAAGACAAGACAGCGUUUUGGUUUGGGAUACCAGCAUAGAUUCGUCCUGGUCUCUGAUUCAGCCACUGCUUGAGGAAAUGUGAAGACUUCUUGCCUAGUGACCGCUUGCCAUGAAGCUAGAAUCCUUUCAGUGUUUGAGACCCGCAUGGAUGUGCUGUCCUCUGGCUCUGUUGCUGGCUGAGCUCCUGCCUCCGAACUCCCAGCAGCGCGGCAGAGCAAUCCGGUCUAUGCCCGAGGCAUCCCUUCAAGCAUUCUCCCAUAACAGAGGACUGGAAGACGUACAAGGGACGACCCAAAAAAAAAGAAAAAAAAAAGCCUCCAAGAAGUUGGGUGCUUUGGUGUGGAUAUGUUUUUUUGUAGGAAAAGACUAGAGAAGUUGGGUCCCUGUGACCAAGGCAGCAAGACAAAGAAGGGGUAUUGACUGCAACUAGAAAACUAAUGUAGAGAUGUAAAUGAUUCAAGAGCAGAGACUUGGUGUGAUCUGGAAAAACGGAAGUUAAAAGAAAUGGAAAAGCGUUGACAGAAAUUAUGAAUCAACAAGCGCAUAUAUCAGAAAUGUGUGUCUUUGGUCUUGUGGUGAAGGUUGAAACAGUGGUUAGAGCAAUAGGACUUCACUAGCUCCUGGAAUGGAUGCUCUCCAAGUUCUGUAGAAGAGUUUUCUCUUGGAAACUUUAGCACAACUUUUUCCUGACACAAAUAUCUCUUUCCUUGCAAUGAAAACAUAAACAUGUUGGAUGCUCAUAUGGAUGAGGCACAGAAAGAUUCAAUGUAUGCUGAUUCAGGAGGAAAAACCAUUUUUUUCUUUCUCCAAAGAUCAUGUUUUCACAAUCAACUUGAAUUCAGUAAAUUUGUAAAAUAAUUUUGUAAAACAAAUAAAACAUAGUGCAAAGGUUGUAUAACCUAACAAUUCUGUUUAAGCGUAAUGAUGUGAUGAAGCAAUGUGCUAGGAGAUGAAAACUGAAAUUACUUUGUUAAACUGCUUGUUU